UGGAUGGCAGAUACAGAAUAGAAAAUAAUGGGAGAAAAAUAUUAGGAACAGUGAAAAUAGUCACAGUAUAGAAUGCACAACACUAUAAAAUUAUGCAAUAUGUAUGCUCUUGCAUAGUCACGAAAAUAUUUGUGUUAAGUAAAAUUGAGAAUGGAAAUGGGAAAUGUGCCAAAGAGACAACAACCCGACCAUAGAAAAAAACAACAGCAGAAGGUCAC
rnacentral:lncRNA from 1 species